rnacentral:lncRNA from 1 species
AUGAUGAACACAAACGGAAAGAGGAGAGGCACCCGAUAUAUGUUCUCUAGGACUUUUAGAAAACAUGGAGUUGUUCCUUUGGUCACGUAUAUGCGAAUCUAUAAGAAAGGUGAUAUUGUAGACAUCAAGGGAAUGGGUACUGUUCAAAAAGGAAUGCCCCACAAGUGUUACCAUGGCAAAACUGGAAGAGUCUACAGUGUUACCCAGCAUGCUGUUGGCAUUGUUGUAAAUAAACAAGGGCAAUAUUCUUGCCAAGAGCAUUAAUGUGCAUACUGAGCACAUGAAGCACUCUAAGAGCCGAGAUAGCUUCCUGAAAUGCAUGAGGAAAAUGAUCAGAAAAAAAAAAGAAGCCAAAGAGAAAGUUACCUGGGUUCAACUGAAGUGCCAGCCUGCUCCACCCAGAGAAGCACACUUUGUGAGAACCAAUGGGAAGGAGCCUGAGCUGCUGGAACUUAUUCCGUAUGAAUUCAUGGCAUAA